rnacentral:rRNA from 1 species
UACGAAGGGGGCUAGCGUUGCUCGGAAUUACUGGGCGUAAAGGGCACGUAGGCGGACAGUUUAGUCGGGGGUGAAAGCCCGGGGCUCAACCUCGGAAUUGCCUUCGAUACUGGCUGUCUUGAGUACGGGAGAGGUGUGUGGAACUCCGAGUGUAGAGGUGAAAUUCGUAGAUAUUCGGAAGAACACCAGUGGCGAAGGCGACACACUGGCCCGUUACUGACGCUGAGGCGCGAAAGCGUGGGGAGCAAACAGG